rnacentral:rRNA from 1 species
UACGUAGGGUCCGAGCGUUGUCCGGAGUUACUGGGCGUAAAGCGCGCGCAGGCGGCUGGGCAAGCCUGGCGUGAAAGCCCCCGGCUCAACCGGGGAGAGUCGUCGGGGACUGUUCGGCUUGAGGGCGGCAGGGGCUGGUGGAAUUCCCGGUGUAGUGGUGAAAUGCGUAGAGAUCGGGAGGAACACCCGUGGCGAAGGCGGCCAGCUGGGCCGGCCCUGACGCUGAGGCGCGAAGGCGUGGGGAGCGAACGGG